UACGGGGGAUGCAAGCGUUAUCCGGAAUCAUUGGGCGUAAAGCGCCUGUAGGUUGUUUAAUAAGUCUGUUGUUAAAGACUAGGGCUCAACCCUAGAAAAGCAAUGGAAACUACUAGACUAGAGUAUGGCAGGGGUAGAGGGAAUUUCUAGUGUAGCGGUGAAAUGCGUAGAUAUUAGAAAGAACACCGGUGGCGAAAGCGCUCUACUGGACCAUUACUGACACUCAGAGGCGAAAGCUAGGGUAGCAAAAGGGAUUAGAUACCCCUGUAGUCCUAGCCGUAAACGAUGGAUACUACAUGUUGUGCUUUUUGUACAGUAUGGUAGCUAACGCGUUAAGUAUCCCGCCUGGGGAGUACGCUCGCAAGGGUG
rnacentral:rRNA from 1 species